GCGCAGCAGGCGCGAAACCUCCGCAAUGCGCGAAAGCGCGACGGGGUUACCUCGAGUGCUACCUGCUGAAGGUGGCUUUUGCCUAGUUUAAGGAGCUAGGAGAAUAAGGGGAGGGCAAGUCUGGUGUCAGCCGCCGCGGUAAUACCAGCUUCCCGAGUGAUGGGGACGAUUAUUGAGCCUAAAGCAUCCGUAGCCGGCUCAGCGUGUCCUCAGUUAAAUCUGACGAUUCAAUCGUCGGGCUGCUGAGGAUACUACUAGGCUAGGGGGCGGGAGAGGUUGGCGGUAUUCCUGGGGUAGUGGUGAAAUACUUUAAUCCUAGGAGGACCACCGGUGGCGAAGGCGGCCAACUAGAACGCGCCCGACGGUGAGGGAUGAAAGCUGGGGGAGCGAAGGGGAUUAGAUACCCCCGUAGUCC
rnacentral:rRNA from 1 species